GUCGUUGUACUAUAGUGGUAAGUAUUCCUGCCUGUCACACGGGUGACCCAGGUUCAAUCCUCGGCAACGACG
rfam:Picea glauca, whole genome shotgun sequence.